rnacentral:lncRNA from 1 species
CCCCGAAGCAACACUCCAAUGGGAGACAAGGAUGACGAUGAUGAUGAUGAUGCGGAUGAGAAAAUGCAGUCAUCGGGCAUCCCUGAUGGUGGUCACAUCCGUCAGGAAAGCCAGGAACAGAGUGAGGUGGACCAUGGAGAUUUUGAGAUGGUGUCUGAGUCGAUGGUCCUGGAAACAGCUGAAAAUGUCAACAAUGGCAACCCCUCUCCCCUGGAAGCCCUGCUGGCCGGUGCUGAGGGCUUUCCUCCCAUGCUGGACAUCCCACCUGAUGCAGACGACGAGACCAUGGUUGAACUAGCCAUUGCCCUCAGCCUGCAGCAGGACCAGCAAGCUCCAGCCUCAGAUGACGAGGGCAGCACUGCAGCAACUGAUGGCUCCACCCUGCGGACCUCGCCAGCCGACCAUGGCGGUAGUGUGGGCUCAGAGAGCGGGGGAAGUGCAGUGGACUCGGUGGCUGGCGAGCACAGUGUGUCUGGCCGGAGCAGUGCAUAUGGUGACGCCACAGCUGAGGGGCACCCGGCUGGACCAGGGAGCGUCAGCUCUAGCACAGGCGCCAUCAGCACCACUACUGGGCACCAGGAGGGAGAUGGAUCUGAGGGAGAAGGAGAAGGGGAAGC